rnacentral:rRNA from 1 species
CAGGCCUAACACAUGCAAGUCGAGCGGAUGACGGGAGCUUGCUCCCGAAUUCAGCGGCGGACGGGUGAGUAAUGCCUAGGAAUCUGCCUGGUAGUGGGGGACAACGUCUCGAAAGGGACGCUAAUACCGCAUACGUCCUACGGGAGAAAGCAGGGGACCUUCGGGCCUUGCGCUAUCAGAUGAGCCUAGGUCGGAUUAGCUAGUUGGUGAGGUAAUGGCUCACCAAGGCGACGAUCCGUAACUGGUCUGAGAGGAUGAUCAGUCACACUGGAACUGAGACACGGUCCAGACUCCUACGGGAGGCAGCAGUGGGGAAUAUUGGACAAUGGGCGAAAGCCUGAUCCAGCCAUGCCGCGUGUGUGAAGAAGGUCUUCGGAUUGUAAAGCACUUUAAGUUGGGAGGAAGGGCAUUAACCUAAUACGUUAGUGUUUUGACGUUACCGACAGAAUAAGCACCGGCUAACUCUGUGCCAGCAGCCGCGGUAAUACAGAGGGUGCAAGCGUUAAUCGGAAUUACUGGGCGUAAAGCGCGCGUAGGUGGUUUGUUAAGUUGGAUGUGAAAGCCCCGGGCUCAACCUGGGAACUGCAUUCAAAACUGACAAGCUAGAGUAUGGUAGAGGGUGGUGGAAUUUCCUGUGUAGCGGUGAAAUGCGUAGAUAUAGGAAGGAACACCAGUGGCGAAGGCGACCACCUGGACUGA